AGGACUCAUCACCAGUUCAGCCUUCAUAUAAACCAUGUUCACUUCAUUUCUCUUGCUGUUGCUGGCUGCUGUGUCUUGUAUUGACUGUCAGGUUGUGCUCACACAGUCUGAACAGUCAGUAGUUGUGGCUCCAGGUGCUUCCUACAAACUGACCUGUGCCUGCAGUGGGUUUACUGUUAGUGGCACUUACAUGCACUGGAUCCGUCAGGCCCCUGGAAAAGGACUGGAAUGGAUUAUUUAUUAUUAUGAUGAUAAUAAUAAGAACUCAGCUCAGUCAGUGCAGGGCAGAUUCACAGCAUCCUCGGACAGCUCUAAUCUCUAUCUGAAUAUGAAUCAGCUGAAGACUGAAGACACUGCAGUGUAUUACUGUGCAACAGGGACACAGUGGAAACACAAAUACAGGGCAGCUGUUCAAAAACUCAUCAUGAGAAAUGGGGCGGACAUCCAAGUUACGCAAGCUGAACAUCUUGCAAUCCUUACCCCACAAAAUAAGCAUGACACUGAUACUACACUCUAA